GUACGUUUCGUUGGCCUUCAGGCCAAAGACCUGCGCGGUGCCCGACUUCGCCGCGAUUUUAUAGGGCGCGCUGGCAAAAUAUUUAUGCGCCGUGCCGUUAGGGCGGUUGGCGACGCCAUACAUGCCAUCUUUCGCAAUUUCCCAGUAGCCGGAGUGAAUAUCGCCCACCGGCGGCUCAUGCGGCUGUUCCCACGGCACCUGUUUACCGUUUUCCGCGGUGCUCAUUAACAGGUGCGGGACUUUAACUACGCCGUCGUUAAUAAGGAUCAUCAGCGCCUUACUCAUCUGAAUCGGCGUUGCCGUCCAGUAGCCCUGGCCGAUGCCCACCGGAAUCGUAUCGCCCUGAUACCACGGUUUUUUAAAGCGUUUCUGUUUCCACUCGCGGGUCGGCAUAUUACCAGAGCGCUCUUC
rnacentral:misc_RNA from 1 species